UAAACCAUGUUUCUGAGCGGCCCCACCAUGCUACCCACCCCGGCCCUGACAGGGAAGGCAGGGAACGUGUUGUGUUAACUGGGGAGGCGAAGGGAAGACCUGCUCCUCCAUUCAUCCUCAACUCCUGAGCUUGGCCCCAAGGAGACACUGCAUGUUCCAGGUAGCACAGAUGCCUGAAGAACAAGAGCUCUCCUAUGGACUCAUACCCUUUAGGAGCCCAAAUUGAGCAGGUCCUUGUGAGUCCACUGCACGCUGACCCUAUUUCAAGUUCAUGGCUCCCACAUUAGAAACACAGGACCCAGCGCCCAGUGCUCCAUGGAUGCCAUCCGAGUUCAUGAGAAAAUGGAUGUCUUAGAGUCUGGGAGAAGCUAGAGUAUAGUUUCAAGGAGCUGAUGACAGCCUGGAAGGAGAAGGGAGAUGAGGGACUGUGUGGUCCACAAAGUGCUUUGAAGAGAAUCAAAUUCACUCAGGAUGCUCUUCGAAAAACACUGUUGAAAAAAUGAAAAUACAAACACGGUUGGAAUCUGUGCUGGGAUGCUGGCUGGAAUGAGAGCUGGGGAGCCUGAAGUAUGCCCCGUGCCUGUCAGUUAAACAGUGAGGCAGCCCCUCUGAGACGGGUUCCCGAGUGCUGGAGAGCAGGACCGACAAGAUAAUUAGAAAUGUAUAUUGAAGACUCAGAGGCGGUGAGGAAGCCAGCAGCUGGCGAGAUGGAGAAGGGCUCCUCGUCAGAGAAAGCUGUCUGCAUACCAGGCUGAGAAAACAGAGACUAGCAAUGGAGCCCCGGAACUUCCCAGAGGAAGAGGCUAUGGAGCGUUA
rnacentral:lncRNA from 10 species